UACGUAGGGUGCGAGCGUUGUCCGGAAUUAUUGGGCGUAAAGAGCUCGUAGGCGGUUCGUCGCGUCGGCUGUGAAAUCCCGGAGCUCAACUCCGGGUCUGCAGUCGAUACGGGCGGACUCGAGUUCGGCAGGGGAGACUGGAAUUCCGGGUGUAGCGGUGGAAUGCGUAGAGAUCCGGAAGAACACCGGUGGCGAAGGCGGCCUGCUGGGCAGUAGCUGACGCUGAGGCGCGACAGCGUGGGGAGCAAACAGG
rnacentral:rRNA from 1 species